rnacentral:rRNA from 1 species
UACGAAGGGGGCUAGCGUUGCUCGGAAUUACUGGGCGUAAAGCGCGCGUAGGCGGACCUGCAAGUCGGGGGUGAAAGCCCGAGGCUCAACCUCGGAACUGCCUUCGAUACUGCGGGUCUCGAGUCCGGGAGAGGUGAGUGGAAUUCCUAGUGUAGAGGUGAAAUUCGUAGAUAUUCGCAAGAACACCAGUGGCGAAGGCGGCUCACUGGCCCGGUACUGACGCUGAGGUGCGAAAGCGUGGGGAGCAAACAGG